rnacentral:rRNA from 1 species
UACAGAGGGUGCGAGCGUUAAUCGGAAUUACUGGGCGUAAAGCGUGCGUAGACGGUUAUUUAAGUCGGGUGUGAAAGCCCCGGGCUCAACCUGGGAAUUGCAUUCGAGACUGAAUAGCUAGGGUACGGUAGAGGGAAGUGGAAUUUCCGGUGUAGCGGUGAAAUGCGUAGAUAUCGGAAGGAACAUCAGUGGCGAAAGCGACUCCUGGACCAGUACCGACGUAGGCACGAAAGCGUGGGGAGCAAAGCAGG